AUGGAAGCUCCAUGGUCCCUCUUCUGGCCUCAGCCUCUCCUGACCUCCUUUCUCAUGGAAUCUGCUGGAUCCUUUCUGUCUUCCCACCUUUUCCCUCCCAGGUCAGGCUCCAUGGCCCAUCACUGCGUUCCGUCACACACUGCCAGCAACACUCAAAGCUUUGAUGGAGCCCCCCAAUUCCCUUCUUUGCACCCACCCUGGUCACCUGAGGCCUUUGAGAGGAAAGCCCACAGCAGUGCCGAUGGUGCCCCAGCUUCAGUGGUGCCCUCUGGCCCCUCAGCUGUGCCCCCAGUGUCCUCGGAGCUCUCCUCCUGCUUUCAUCACCGCGAAGUCAAAACCACAGCCCCCUUGGUGCUCACCUCCUCGCUCUCCCUCUCUCUUGCAGGGUGGGUACCCCUCGUUCACCGCCCCCAACAAGCCUGUGCCCCAGGUGUCCCCUCCUGGACACUCCUGGCAGAGAGAGGGCUGAGACCCUCCUCCAUCCAUCGCUCCAGACCUCAUCUCCGCCAGCAGUGUUACUGGGGAACAGUCCCCUUGUGCCUCCAUUCUCAACCUCUCAAGUCACCUUCCUUUAGUCAACCAAUUAUCUAUUGUUUCCCACGUGCCGGCACUGCUGUGGGGGCCCAGCAGACCGCAGGGAGCAGAGCAGACAGCAGUGUGGGCCGCGUGGGUGACAGGCCCCUCAGCUGCCCCCGUGCCUCUUGCUCCUCAGCACUGAGCAGGCCCCCCCACAACUUCACAACCUCCAUGCCUCCCUCGUGCCUUGCAGCCCCCCAGCCUUUGCCUCUGUGCUCUCCUUGCCUAGAGCGUCCUUCCCACCCAUCUCUCCAUUGUCCUCCUGCUUCCCUCCCAGACUAUCCAGAUCUGGGACCCUCCUGUGUGCUCCGACCUGUCUUAAGCUAUCACGGACCAUUUGCCAAGACAAACACUGGCUUCCUUUUCCGUCUCCCUGAGCAGACUGUCAGGCCCUGCAACCCCAAGCCGUGGCUUCCUGGUCUUUGUGUCGGUGCAUCCAACACAGAGCUGGCCCCUAGGAGCUCCUCCACGUGUCUUAGUCGAAGCCCCUCAAGCUUAAUUUUAUCGUUGUGUUAA
rnacentral:lncRNA from 1 species